rnacentral:rRNA from 1 species
CAUCUUGGCCAUACCUCUCUGAAUGCACACAGAUCUGAUCUCCGAAGCUAAGCAAAGUCAGUCCUGGUUAGUACAUGGAUGGGAGAAAAUUCAACUGGCCAUAGAGGA